rnacentral:rRNA from 1 species
GACGAACGCUGGCGGCGUGCCUAAUACAUGCAAGUAGAACGCUGAAGGAGGAGCUUGCUCUUCUGGAUGAGUUGCGAACGGGUGAGUAACGCGUAGGUAACCUGCCUGGUAGCGGGGGAUAACUAUUGGAAACGAUAGCUAAUACCGCAUAAGAGUAGAUGUUGCAUGACAUUUGCUUAAAAGGUGCAAUUGCAUCACUACCAGAUGGACCUGCGUUGUAUUAGCUAGUUGGUGGGGUAACGGCUCACCAAGGCGACGAUACAUAGCCGACCUGAGAGGGUGAUCGGCCACGCUGGGACUGAGACACGGCCCAGACUCCUACGGGAGGCAGCAGUAGGGAAUCUUCGGCAAUGGACGGAAGUCUGACCGAGCAACGCCGCGUGAGUGAAGAAGGGUUUCGGAUCGUAAAGCUCUGUUGUAAGAGAAGAACGAGUGUGAGAGUGGAAAGUUCACACUGUGACGGUAUCUUACCAGAAAGGGACGGCUAACUACGUG